rnacentral:rRNA from 1 species
ACGAACGCUGGCGGCAUGCCUCACCCAUGCAAGUCGAACGAGACCUUCGGGUCUAGUGGCGCACGGGUGCGUAACGCGUGGGAACCUGCCCUUAGGUUCGGAAUAACUCCCCGAAAGGGGUGCUAAUACCGGAUAAUGUCUUCGGACCAAAGAUUUAUCGCCUUUGGAUGGGCCCGCGUUGGAUUAGCUAGUUGGUAGGGUAAAAGCCUACCAAGGCGACGAUCCAUAGCUGGUCUGAGAGGAUGAUCAGCCACACUGGGACUGAGACACGGCCCAGACUCCUACGGGAGGCAGCAGUGGGGAAUAUUGGACAAUGGGCGAAAGCCUGAUCCAGCAAUGCCGCGUGAGUGAUGAAGGCCUUAGGGUUGUAAAGCUCUUUUACCCGGGAUGAUAAUGACAGUACCGGGAGAAUAAGCUCCGGCUAACUCCGUG